rnacentral:rRNA from 1 species
AGCGGCGAACGGGUGAGUAACACGUGGGUAUCUGCCCUGCACUCUGGGAUAAGCCUGGGAAACUGGGUCUAAUACCGGAUAUGCUCGCAUGGGGAAAGAUUUAUCGGUGCAGGAUGGGCCCGCGGCCUAUCAGCUUGUUGGUGGGGUAAUGGCCUACCAAGGCGACGACGGGUAGCCGACCUGAGAGGGUGACCGGCCACACUGGGACUGAGACACGGCCCAGACUCCUACGGGAGGCAGCAGUGGGGAAUAUUGCACAAUGGGCGAAAGCCUGAUGCAGCGACGCCGCGUGAGGGAUGAAGGCCUUCGGGUUGUAAACCUCUUUCAGCAGGGACGAAGCGCAAGUGACGGUACCUGCAGAAGAAGCACCGGCUAACUACGUGCCAGCAGCCGCGGUAAUACGUAGGGUGCGAGCGUUGUCCGGAAUUACUGGGCGUAAAGAGUUCGUAGGCGGUUUGUCGCGUCGUUUGUGAAAACCCGGGGCUCAACUUCGGGCUUGCAGGCGAUACGGGCAGACUUGAGUGUUUCAGGGGAGACUGGAAUUCCUGGUGUAGCGGUGAAAUGCGCAGAUAUCACGAGGAACACCGGUGGCGAAGGCGGGUCUCUGGGAAACAACUGACGCUGAGGAACGAAAGCGUGGUUAGCAAACAGGAUAGAAUACCCUGUAGGUCCACGCCGA